GAUGAACGCUGGCGGCGUGCCUAAUACAUGCAAGUCGAGCGAACAGACGAGGAGCUUGCUCCUCUGACGUUAGCGGCGGACGGGUGAGUAACACGUGGAUAACCUACCUAUAAGACUGGGAUAACUUCGGGAAACCGGAGCUAAUACCGGAUAAUAUAUUGAACCGCAUGGUUCAAUAGUGAAAGACGGUUUUGCUGUCACUUAUAGAUGGAUCCGCGCCGCAUUAGCUAGUUGGUAAGGUAACGGCUUACCAAGGCAACGAUGCGUAGCCGACCUGAGAGGGUGUUCGGCCACACUGGAACUGAGGCACGGUCCAGACUCCUACGGGAGGCAGCAGUAGGGAAUCUUCCGCAAUGGGCGAAAGCCUGACGGAGCCACGCCGCGUGAGUGAUGAAGGUCUUCGGAUCGUAAAACUCUGUUAUUAGGGAAGAACAAAUGUGUAAGUAACUAUGCACGUCUUGACGGUACCUAAUCAGAAAGCCACGGCUAACUACGUG
rnacentral:rRNA from 1 species